AGUGUGAGCGAGUGCAGGAAGGUUCCACCAUCCGGGCGGGGGCAAGUAAUCUCAGCACCGAAGGAGCAAAGGGGGGCAAAUCAGGGGAAGACGGAGGUGGGGGAAGCUCACGGAGAUCGAUCGUCCACCCCGGAGAGAUUUGCACCCCGCCUUAUGCGUGCAUCCUUCUUGCCCGAGAGGGGGUCAUGAGCUCUCAUUGGGCCUCACCGAAAAUCCAGUUGUGUGAUGUCAAUGGCAUUUCCUUUCAGAAAAAGGAAAUGAGGUUAGCGAGCGAGCGUGUUACCAGGAAAGGAAAGUUAGUUGCGCCCCACCCUUUGCAGCCCCACGCUCCUCCCCCACUGCCCCCCACAGCACACUAGGCCCUUCUGCCUGGAGCUGGGGACAGGACCCAGAAAUGUCACGGUUCACACAGUAUGGCAGCCAUAUUGUGAGGAAGCCCAAGCCACCCGGAGAGGCCACUGUAGGUGCUCUGGGCCAACAGCCUCCAUUAAGGUCUCCACCUUAGGCCAGCUUCAGUGCUCAACAUGUGCACAAACGACUCUCCAAAUGAUUCCUGCUCCUGACUGCAACCAUUUCAGCACUGGACGCCAUCACAUGGACCCCCCUGGCCACAGCCCUCUCAGGAGGGUAGACCGGGAAGAGCUGUUACUAUGCAGAUGCAGAAACUAGGGCUCUGAGAGAGAGAGGAAGGAAGAGGAAAGAAGAGGAAAAAGUAGCCCAAAGCCCCACAGCAGUCGCAGAGCUGGGACAUAAACCUUGGCUCUGCCACAAAGCCCAUCAUCUGCAGAGACUUCUGACUCGGAUGAUUCCCACACUUCCUCCAGAAUGCACAUCCUAUCCUAGGGUCCCCCAGGCAGACGGAAGAUGUCAGGAGGAGGGAAGUGCAGGAUAGCCUGAGCCUGAUGAACUACAUGCCAUAAUGCCAUCACCUGCACCAUUGUGGGAGCUGCAUUCCUCUGUCUCUACGUGGACCUGAGGUCAUGGCAUAGUCCCCAAGACCCUGGGCAACCUAGCCCAGCUGGCCCUCCGGCCUUUUCUCCUCCCUCUUCCCCCUCUGACCUAUGAGCUCCUGUCACUUGGUCUUUCUUGCUUUCCUCAACAUACCAGGCUUCCAGCCACAGGGCCUUUGCACAUACAGUCCCCUUACUUUAGAAGAUGUGCCCCAAGCCCCAGCCCCUUCCAUGUCCACAGUUAAUGCCUCUUCAUCCUUCCUUCUUUUUAAAAUAACAGUUUUAUUGACAUAUAAUUCAUAUGUCAUAUAAUUGACCUAUUUAAAACAUGUGAUUCAAUGGUUUUUAGUAUGUCCACAGAUCUGGGUAAUCAUCACCACGAUCAGUUCUAGGACAUUUGCAUCACCGUCUAAAACCCUGUACUCAUUUACCA